rnacentral:rRNA from 1 species
AGCGCACGCAGGCGGUUGCCCAAGUCAGAUGUGAAAGCCCCGGGCUUAACCUGGGAACUGCAUUUGAAACUGGGCGACUAGAGUAUGAAAGAGGAAAGCGGAAUUUCCAGUGUAGCAGUGAAAUGCGUAGAUAUUGGAAGGAACACCGAUGGCGAAGGCAGCUUUCUGGGUCGAUACUGACGCUCAUGUGCGAAAGCGUGGGGAGCAAACAGGAUUAGAUACCCUGGUAGUCCACGCCCUAAACGAUGUCGAUUAGCUGUUGGGCAGCUUGACUGCUUAGUAGCGUAGCUAACGCGUGAAAUCGACCGCCUGGGGAGUACGGUCGCAAGAUUAAAACUCAAAGGAAUUGACGGGGACCCGCACAAGCGGUGGAUGAUGUGGAUUAAUUCGAUGCAACGCGAAGAACCUUACCUGGUCUUGACAUGUACGGAACCUUCCAGAGACGGAAGGGUGCCUUCGGGAGCCGUAACACAGGUGCUGCAUGGCUGUCGUCAGCUCGUGUCGUGA